rnacentral:rRNA from 1 species
GAUGAACGCUGGCGGCGUGCCUAAUACAUGCAAGUCGAGCGAACAGAUGAGGAGCUUGCUCCUCUGACGUUAGCGGCGGACGGGUGAGUAACACGUGGAUAACCUACCUAUAAGACUGGGAUAACUUCGGGAAACCGGAGCUAAUACCGGAUAAUAUAUUGAACCGCAUGGUUCAAUAGUGAAAGACGGUUUUGCUGUCACUUAUAGAUGGAUCCGCGCCGCAUUAGGUAGUUGGUAAGGUAACGGCUUACCAAGGCAACGAUGCGUAGCCGACCUGAGAGGGUGAUCGGCCACACUGGAACUGAGACACGGUCCAGACUCCUACGGGAGGCCACAGUAGGGAAUCUUCCGCAAUGGGCGAAUGCCUGACGGAGCAACGCCGCGUGAGUGAUGAAGGUCUUCGGAUCGUAAAACUCUGUUAUUAGGGAAGAACAAAUGUGUAAGUAACUAUGCACGUCUUGACGGUACCUGAUCAGAAAGCCACGGCUAACUACGUG